CACGUAGGCACCAAGCGUUGUCCGGAUUUAUUGGGCGUAAAGAGCUCGUAGGCGGUUCAGUAAGUCGGGUGUGAAAACUCUGGGCUUAACCCAGAGCCGCCACCCGAUACUGCUGUGACUUGAGUUCGGUAGGGGAGCAGGGAAUUCCUAGUGUAGCGGUGAAAUGCGCAGAUAUUAGGAGGAACACCGGUGGCGAAGGCGCUGCUCUGGGCCGAUACUGACGCUGAGGAGCGAAAGCGUGGGUAGCAAACAGG
rnacentral:rRNA from 1 species